rnacentral:rRNA from 1 species
UACGAAGGGUGCAAGCGUUACUCGGAAUUACUGGGCGUAAAGCGUGCGUAGGUGGUUUGUUAAGUCUGAUGUGAAAGCCCUGGGCUCAACCUGGGAAUUGCACUGGAUACUGGCAGGCUAGAGUGCGGUAGAGGAUGGCGGAAUUCCCGGUGUAGCAGUGAAAUGCGUAGAUAUCGGAAGGAACAUCAGUGGCGAAAGCGGCUUCCUGGACCAGUACCGACGUUCAGGCACGAAAGCGUGGGGAGCAAAC